UACAGAGGUCUCAAGCGUUGUUCGGAUUCAUUGGGCGUAAAGGGCGCGUAGGCGGCGGGGUAAGUCGGGUGUGAAAUCUCAGGGCUCAACCCUGAAACUGCACUCGAUACUGCUCUGCUUGAGGACUGGAGAGGAGACUGGAAUUCACGGUGUAGCAGUGAAAUGCGUAGAUAUCAGGAGGAACACCGGUGGCGAAGGCGGGUCUCUGGGCAGUAACUGACGCUGAGGAGCGAAAGCGUGGGGAGCGAACAGG
rnacentral:rRNA from 1 species